UGGUCCCACGCCUUCCCAUCCCGAACAGGACCGUGAAACGACUCAGCGCCGAUGAUAGUGUGGUUCUUCCAUGCGAAAGUAGGUCACUGCCAAAC
rnacentral:rRNA from 1 species